rnacentral:rRNA from 1 species
GGCAAGCGUUGUCCGGAUUUAUUGGGCGUAAAGCGAGCGCAGGCGGUUUCUUAAGUCUGAUGUGAAAGCCCCCGGCUCAACCGGGGAGGGUCAUUGGAAACUGGGAGACUUGAGUGCAGAAGAGGAGAGUGGAAUUCCAUGUGUAGCGGUGAAAUGCGUAGAUAUAUGGAGGAACACCAGUGGCGAAGGCGGCUCUCUGGUCUGUAACUGACGCUGAGGCUCGAAAGCGUGGGGAGCAAACAGGAUUAGAUACCCUGGUAGUCCACGCCGUAAACGAUGAGUGCUAAGUGUUGGAGGGUUUCCGCCCUUCAGUGCUGCAGCUAACGCAUUAAGCACUCCGCCUGGGGAGUACGACCGCAAGGUUGAAACU